rnacentral:rRNA from 1 species
UACGUAGGGGGCAAGCGUUGUCCGGAUUUAUUGGGCGUAAAGAGCGUGUAGGCGGCCAGGUAGGUCUGCUGUGAAAACUCGAGGCUCAACCUCGAGACGUCGGUUGAAACCGUAAGGCUAGAGUCCGGAAGAGGAGAGUGGAAUUCCCGGUGUAGCGGUGAAAUGCGCAGAUAUCGGGAAGAACACCCGUGGCGAAGGCGGCUCUCUGGGACGGUACUGACGCUGAGACGCGAAAGCGUGGGUAGCGAACAGG